rnacentral:RNase_P_RNA from 1 species
CGGCGCUGGGCAAACGAUCGCGGCGGCGCAUGCGUCGUCGAGGAAAGUCCGGGCUGCAUCGGGCAGGGUGCCAGGUAACCCCUGGGAGGCGAGAGCCUACGGAAAGUGCAACAGAGAGCAGACAGCCUAAGAGCGCGGUUCGCCGCGGUCCGGUGAUGGUGAAAGGGUGCGGUAAGAGCGCACCGCGCGAGUGGUAACACGUCGCGGCUAGGUAAACCCCACCCGCAGCAAGGCCAAAUAGGGAAGCAAUGGCGCGGCCCGCGCUGCUUCCGGGUAGGCUGCUAGAGCCGUGCGGUGACGCACGGCCCAGAGGAAUGAUCGUUCUCGACAGAACCCGGCUUAUGACCGGCCCGGUCU